AGGACGAACGCUGGCGGCGUGCUUAACACAUGCAAGUCGAGCGAGGCCUUCCCUUCGGGGGAGUGCCCUAGCGGCGAACGGGUGAGUAACACGUGGGCAACCUGCCCCUAGCACUGGGAUAACUCCGGGAAACCGGGGCUAAUACCGGAUAUGACCUUUGAGGGCAUCCUCUUUGGUGUAAAGGAUUCUGGCUAGGGAUGGGCCCGCGGCCUAUCAGCUUGUUGGUGGGGUAAUGGCCUACCAAGGCGACGACGGGUAGCCGGCCUGAGAGGGCGACCGGCCACACUGGGACUGAGACACGGCCCAGACUCCUACGGGAGGCAGCAGUGGGGAAUAUUGCACAAUGGGCGAAAGCCUGAUGCAGCGACGCCGCGUGAGGGAUGGACGGCCUUCGGGUUGUAAACCUCUUUCAGUACCGACGAAGCGAAAGUGACGGUAGGUACAGAAGAAGCACCGGCAACUACGCGCCAGCAGCCGC
rnacentral:rRNA from 1 species